CUCGUGGUAGGCUGCCACUCGCAGAUUUCCUCUUCAUUCAUUCCACAGGAAUUUGGCUGCCAUUUCCUGAGCAGAGGAGAAGGUUUGACUGGCUUCGUGCAGGGCCAAGCUGGCCGAGUCACUGGCUGGAGAGGGGAGCCUAAGAUGGUGUAAAGCGUGGUUUGAGCACAUUUGCCUCGAUACAUCCGCAAGGGGACUGAUGGAUUUAUCUCUGAGUUCUGGUCCUGCCAAGAAGAGGGAAACAAGCAGGGGGAUUGACACUCGAGGAGAACAAGUGGUCAUGUGGUUAUCAGAUCAGAUCAACUGGGAGUAAACGUGUGUGUGGGGAAAUCGGUACAUCGUAUGGAAAGACAUCAAGGUUAAUGUGUCACUAUGACUGAUUUGCUGGAGAAAAAUGUGACAAAUGACCCAGAAUACCUAAAAAUAAAGAAAAUGUGUGAGGAAAAACUCUUACAUUUCUUCAUUCCCAAAUAACAUGCGACUUAUAUCCAUGUUAACAUAGUCUGCGGGAUAGAAACACACAGAAACAUGAGCAAAGAACAGGGUGAAAAGUUUCAGUGCAGAUCACUUUCCCUCUACAGUGUUUUCAGGCAGAUGGCUCUGUGCCCUGCCAGCAGAGGGAGCAGUUUGUGCAGCCUCUCAGCUUCAUUGUCAUGUCCAGCCUCCUGUCUGGGCCCUGCUGUUUGGCUUCCUUGACAGCCCUAAAUCACAUAAAUAGACUGAGAGAGAAGCAUCUGCAUUCCACAAAAGUUGUACGGUCCUGCCGCGGUCUUGUUGAAUAUUUCGUGGCACGCAUGAAAGCAGGGGAACCAGGUUAAGUGAGUGAAGUUUUUACACAGUUUAACAGACACAGUUUGCGGCAGCAUUAUAGAAAAAGAAGUGAUUAUAAAUUUGCAGAAGAACCUGCAUAAUGUAAGGAUAUUCAUUAUAUGAUCACAUUCUCUAUUAAGU